UAUCCUAAACUUGGGAUUCUGGCGCAAAGCUUAAGCUCAUUUGGUAUCUCCCACAAAGAUUCCAAAUUUUAAUAAAAAUCUGUAGAAAGUUUAUUUACUAUAUCUGCUACUAACUUUAGUUGCUGGCACAACAAUUUGGUUAAUACCUGAUCUCUCCCAAAAAUGCAAAAUUUUGAUGAAAAUUGGCAGGAUGUUGGUCAUAUAUCUAAGGGCAAAAUUCGAAAACUUUAAAUGGACGUAUCUCGCAAAUUAACUUUGUAUAACGCUUUCCACGACGACUGUCACAGUAUGUGAGAAGUUGGCUCGAAAUCAGUUCAGAUUUAGAUAUAGCUCCCAUAUAUAUGUUCGUCCGAUUUGCAGUAAUAUCUCCAAGCUCAAGACACGAACACCCACCCCCACCAAAAGUUCUUUAGUCUGAAGAAAAAAA
rnacentral:sRNA from 1 species